UGCAGGCUGAAAAACGACUAUUUUUGUACAUGGAAAUUGACAACUGUACAAUUUGGAUGUGCGUGUAGAAAGAUGCCCCAAGAGAAACGUAUUUGAGACCUUAUUCUACCUGGAUCACUGUUGCAACGGCUCGGUUUGCUGUUCCAUCAAGAAUCUUACAGAAUGGUGGAGGGUUGAGGGAUUGAUGAUCAAUCGUGGAAGUGGUUUGGGACGGGAUUUGAAGAAGCUUCGGAUGUACUAUUGUACAAGAGACAAAUGUGUGAAGGUCAUGACUAGUCUCAUCUUUGGGGCGAAGUCUUUAGUCAGCUGCUAAACCUCACCAAUAUUUUUUGUCUUCUUUUCUCCCCGAAUGUGUUUUUUGUCUAUCAAUAGCAAUACUCCAUGUCCAUGCCAUGGGUCCAAUCCAAGGACGAGAAAUUCUAUUUACACCCCUUAUUAUAUCUCAGAACUCACACCUGUUGGUACACGGGCCUGCUAACCCGCCCAACCCUCUCAACCCAGCUCACAUUUUCAAGGAUCUGAGAUUUAGGGCUAGAUUGAGUUUUUAAGCCCGUUUAAUAAAUGGAAUGAGUUUGGGAUAUCGGUAAAACCUUGAUCAGUAUUUAUAUCUAUUUAACUUUGACAGUUUACCGAUCAAAGCCUUAUCGAUAUUCGAAUGAGUUGAUUUUUUAACAAAACUCCUUAAAAAAGAUUUUUUUAAACAAAUUGAACGGCUCCGAUCAGUUGCUGGGACUCCUAAACAAAGAGUGUCAUUUCAAGUGUCCAUAGAACCGGCCACUAAUAUAUAUCUAUAUAAUAAAACAACUCAGUAUUUGAAUCAUAUAUAUAUCUAACAGCCAAAACUUAUCCCUCAUAAAUUCUACAGCUGAGAAGAGUCCUAGGGCUGGAAAAUCCAACUUUUCAAUCUUCUCUAACAUUUCCUAUUCCAACUCUCUUUUGUUAUGGAAAGAUAGAAAGCAAUAAAAUUUUAUUGCCAAGAAAAGAGCCGGAUUUUGAAAUAAGAAAGGGAAGUAAUCUCUUUAGUUAUGGAAAGAUAGAAAGCAAUAAAAUUUCAUUGCCAAAAAAAGAGCCGGAUUUUGAAAUAAGAAAGGGAAGAAAUUUUUGAAACCUUAGCAUUCUCUCUCUCCGAAGCAAGGCAAAAUCUUCUCUAACUUUUCCUAUCCCACCUCUUUUUUGUUAUUGAAAGAUAGAAAGUAAUAAAAUUCCAUGUAUAAAAUUAGUGCAAGGCAGAUUGUAAACUAAG